GAUGAACGCUAGCGGCAGGCCUAACACAUGCAAGUCGAGGGGCAGUUCCGACUUCGGUUGGAAGCGACCGGCGAACGGGUGAGUAACGCGUUUGUAACCUACCUCUGACUGGGGGAUAGCUCCCGGAAACGGGAAUUAAUACUCCAUGAUAUUCAAUUUGGGCAUCCUUAUUGAAUUAAAGCUCCGGUGGUCAGAGAUGGGCAUGCGUGACAUUAGCUAGUUGGUGAGGUAACGGCUCACCAAGGCUACGAUAUCUAGGGGGUCUGAGAGGAUGAUCCCCCACACUGGUACUGAGACACGGACCAGACUCCUACGGGAGGCUG
rnacentral:rRNA from 1 species